UCGGGCAUGGUGCAUGGAACAUCGCGGGGCUCUUUAGGAAGUCGUUCAAAGUGAUAUGCCACCCCGCGGACCGGGGUUCGACUCCCCGCGCCUGAA